rnacentral:miRNA from 1 species
UUAGGCCGCAGAUCUGGGUGAA